AAGACCUUGCGCUUUUGGAGCGGCCGAUGCCUGAUUAGCUUGUUGGUAAGGUAAAAGCUUACCAAGGCUUCGAUCAGUAGCUGGUCUGAGAGGACGACCAGCCACACUGGGACUGAGACACGGCCCAGACUCCUACGGAAGGCAGCAGUGGGGAAUUUUGGACAAUGGGGGCAACCCUGAUCCAGCCAUGCCACGUGAGUGAAGAAGGCCUUCGGGUUGUAAAGCUCUUUCAGCCGGAACGAAACGGUUACGGAUAACACCCGUGACUACUGACGGUACCGGAAGAAGAAGCACCGGCUAACUACGUGCCAGCAGCCGCGGUAAUACGUAGGGUGCGAGCGUUAAUCGGAAUUACUGGGCGUAAAGCGUGCGCAGGUGGUUUUGUAAGUCAGAUGUGAAAGCCCCGGGCUCAACCUGGGAACU
rnacentral:rRNA from 1 species